AUUGGACGCUGGCGGCAUGCCUUACACAUGCAAGUCGAACGGCAGCAUGGAGAGCUUGCUCUCUGAUGGCGAGUGGCGAACGGGUGAGUAAUGCAUCGGAACGUACCGUGUAAUGGGGGAUAACGUAGCGAAAGUUACGCUAAUACCGCAUACGACCUGAGGGUGAAAGCAGGGGAUCGCAAGACCUUGCGUUAUACGAGCGGCCGAUGUCAGAUUAGCUAGUUGGUGAGGUAAAGGCUCACCAAGGCGACGAUCUGUAGCGGGUCUGAGAGGAUGCUCCGCCACACUGGGACUGAGACACGGCCCAGACUCCUACGGGAGGCAGCAGUGGGGAAUUUUGGACAAUGGGGGCAACCCUGAUCCAGCCAUGCCGCGUGAGUGAAGAAGGCCUUCGGGUUGUAAAGCUCUUUCGGCCGGGAAGAAAUCGCACAGGCUAAUACCCUGUGUGGAUGACGGUACCGGCAUAAGAAGCACCGGCUAACUACGUGCCAGCAGCCGCAGUAA
rnacentral:rRNA from 1 species